rnacentral:rRNA from 1 species
AGGAUGAACGCUGGCGGAGUGCCUAACACAUGCAAGUCGAGCGGCAGCACGAGUAGUUUACUACUUGGUGGCGAGCGGCGGACGGCUGAGUAACGCGUGGGAACGUGCCCCAAAGUGAGGAAUAACUGCCCGAAAGGGUAGCUAAUGCCGCAUAUGAUCUUCGGAUUAAAGUAUUUAUUACGCUUUGGGAGCGGCCCGCGUCCGAUUAGGUAGUUGGUGAGGUAAAGGCUCACCAAGCCCACGAUCGGUAGCUGGUUUGAGAGGAUGACCAGCCAGACUGGAACUGAGACACGGUCCAGACUCCUACGGGAGGCAGCAGUGAGGAAUCUUCCACAAUGGACGAAAGUCUGAUGGAGCAACUCCGCGUGCAGGAUGAAGGCCUUAGGGUUGUAAACUGCUUUUAUGAGUGAAGAUAUGACGGUAACUCAUGAAUAGGGUCGGCUAACUACGCGCCAGCAGCCGCGGU